AGACAAGCUCGGGCCUGGCACGGAGCAGUGGGAAGGGCAGGAGACUGCCCCUAGUGGACUCCAAGUCCAGCUCCUGUCCCUGGGCGCGUCUCGACACUGGCUGGAUCACGGAGGAAACCGUGUCUCGGACCCCAGCCAGCACGGGCGCCCCCCUCGGCUUCGCUCCCAUGACCCAGCGGUGGCCUCGGAGGCCCGCGUGGGGCGCGCCGGUCACCUGGAGAGGAGGCUGGGGGUCGGGGGACGCGCGCGCCCUUAGGCCCCACUCCUGUCUUCCGCCCUUUUUAUUCUGCCCUGCACCCUGGGGCGGGCGGCGCGAGGCCAGGGUUUGCGAGUGUCACCUGCUUUGCAGCUGCUGUCCAUUGUGGGGUGCAAUCCGGAAGGGAGCCCUGGCAGAUCAGUGAGAGAAUUCACAGACCUUCAGAUCUUACCACAGAUCUGGUAAGAUCUGGAGUGAGCCAAACCUGCUGGUUCUCACCCGGCCCCUGCACUGUGGAUGAACAGGGCCCUCAGGUGCCCAGGCCCUGGUAAGCACCAUUCUACUCCCUGCCUCCAUGAGAUCCACUUUUUUCAGCUCCCACAUUUGAGUGAGAACGUGUGAUAUUUGUAUUUUUGUACCUGGUUUAUUUCACUCAACAUAAUGAACUCCAGCUCCAUCCAUAUUGCUGCAAAUGAAAGGAUAUUAUUCUGUUUUAUGGCCAAAUAAUGUUUCUUUGUGUAUAUAUACCACAUUUUCCUUAUCUCUUUGUGUAUAUAUACCACAUUUUCCUUAUCUCUUUGUGUGUAUAUACCACAUUUUCCUUAUCCAUUCAUUCACUGGUGGAUACUUAGGUUGAUUUCACUUCUUGACUAACAUGAACAGUGCUGUAAUAAACAUGGGAGUGCAGACAGUUCUUAGGUUUACUGAUUUCCUGUCUUUUGGAUAUAUAUCCAGCAGUGGGAUUGCUGGAUCAUAUGGUAGUUCUACUUUUAGUUUUUUGAAGCGCCUCCAUACUGUUGUUCAUAGUGGCUGUCCUAGUUUAUAUUCCCACUAAUAGUGUAUGAGUGUUCCCCUUUCUCCGAAUCCUUGCCAACAUCCGUUAUUUUUUGUCUUUUUGAUCAUAGCCGUUCUAACUGGGGUGAGAUGGUAUCUCAUCAUGGUUUUGAUUUGCAUUUCCCUGGUGAUUAGUGAUAUUGAACAUUUUUUCAUAUACCUGCUGACCGUUUGUAUGCCUUCUUUUGAGAAAUGUCUAUUCAGGUCUUUUGUUCAUUUUAAAAAUGAAGUUAUUUGUUUAAAAAGGAUACUUUGAAGCCAGGCACAGUGGCUCACACCUGUUAUCUCAGCACUUUGGGAGGCUGAGGCGGGCGGAUCACUUGAGGUCAGGAGUUCAAGACCAGCCUGGCCAACAUGGGGGAAACCCCAUCUCUACUAAAAAUACAAAAAUUAGCCGGGUGUAGUGGUGGGUGCCUGUAAUCCCAGCUACCUGGGAGGCUGAGGCAGGAGAAUCUCUUGAACCUGGGAGGUGGAGGUUGCAGCGAGCUGAGAUUACACCACUGCACUCCAGCCUGGGUGGCAGAAAGAAACUCCAUCUCAAAUAAAUAAAUAAAAUAUAGGCUGGGUGUGGUGGCUCAUGCUGUAAUCCCAGCACUUUGGGAGGCCGAGGUGGGCAGAUUGCUUGAGCCCAGGAAUUUGAGGCCAGCCUGAGCAACGUGGCAAAAUCCCAUCUCUACAAAAAUAAUAAUAAAAAAAUUGAGCUGGGCAUGGUGGUAUGCACCUGUAGUCAGUGCCAGCUACUCCAGAGGCUGAGGUGGGAGGCUCACUUGAGCCUGCAAGGUAGAGGCUGCA